GUACUAGUGGUCUAGUGGUAGAAUAUUACCCUGCCAUCGUAUAGACUCGGGUUCGAUUCCCGGCUGGUGCA
rfam:Macleaya cordata isolate BLH2017 scaffold1559, whole genome shotgun sequence.